AACGAACGCUAGCGGUAGGCCUAACACAUGCAAGUCGAACGGGCAUAUAGCUUGGCUUGCCAAGUUGUAUGUCAGUGGCAGACGGGUGAGUAAUACAUAGGAAUCUACCUGACAGUAAGGAAUAGUCACUAGAAAUGGUGAGUAAUACCAUAUACGCCCUGAGGGGAAAGAUUUAUCGCUGUCAGAUGGGCCUAUGUUGGAUUAGCUAGUUGGUGAGGUAAAUGCUCACCAAGGCAACGAUCCAUAGCUGGCCUGAGAGGGUGAACAGCCACACUGGAACUGAGAUACGGUCCAGACUCCUACGGGAGGCAGCAGGU
rnacentral:rRNA from 1 species